AUUGAACGCUGGCGGCAGGCCUAACACAUGCAAGUCGAGCGGAUGAAGGGAGCUUGCUCCUGGAUUCAGCGGCGGACGGGUGAGUAAUGCCUAGGAAUCUGCCUGGUAGUGGGGGAUAACGUCCGGAAACGGGCGCUAAUACCGCAUACGUCCUGAGGGAGAAAGUGGGGGAUCUUCGGACCUCACGCUAUCAGAUGAGCCUAGGUCGGAUUAACUAGUUGGUGGGGUAAAGGCCUACCAAGGCGACGAUCCGUAACUGGUCUGAGAGGAUGAUCAGUCACACUGGAACUGAGACACGGUCCAGACUCCUACGGGAGGCAGCAGUGGGGAAUAUUGGACAAUGGGCGAAAGCCUGAUCCAGCCAUGCCGCGUGUGUGAAGAAGGUCUUCGGAUUGUAAAGCACUUUAAGCUGGGAGGAAGGGCAGUAAGUUAAUACCUUGCUGUUUUGACGUUACCAACAGAAUAAGCACCGGCUAACUUCGUG
rnacentral:rRNA from 1 species